AAGUGCAUCAGGUGGAUGCCUUGGCGAUGAUAGGCGAAGAAGGACGUGUAAGCCUGCGAAAAGCACGGAGAAGCUGGCAAAAGAGCAAUGAUCCCGUGAUAUCCGAAUGGGGAAACCCACACAGUAAUGUGUAUCCUAAACUGAAUACAU
rnacentral:sRNA from 1 species